UAAAAUAACUAUUUAGGACAUUUAAUGUGUUUUAUUUGUCAGGAGCGAACGUUUGAGUGUAAGGAAUGCGGGAAGGUUUUCAAGCGCUCGUCCACUCUGUCCACACACCUGCUGAUCCACUCAGACACACGACCAUAUCCCUGCCUGUACUGUGGGAAGAGAUUUCACCAGAAGUCCGACAUGAAGAAACACACCUUCAUACACACCGGUGAGAAGCCGCAUGUGUGUAAAGUAUGUGGGAAAGCCUUCAGCCAGAGCUCCAACCUGAUCACACACAGCAGAAAACACUACAGACCCUACAGCUGAACAGUUACCCCCUGAUUACACACCAAGCUAAGACCUUUGUGAAUGUACAUACAGUAUUAUUAGCUUUACACGACACAAAAGUAUUAUAAAUUAUUUCUGUACAUUAAAUUACUUCCACAUCCA